UGGGGAAUAUUGCACAAUGGGCGCAAGCCUGAUGCAGCCAUGCCGCGUGUGUGAAGAAGGCCUUCGGGUUGUAAAGCACUUUCAGCGAGGAGGAAGGUGGUGAACUUAAUACGUUCAUCAAUUGACGUUACUCGCAGAAGAAGCACCGGCUAACUCCGUGCCAGCAGCCGCGGUAAUACGGAGGGUGCAAGCGUUAAUCGGAAUUACUGGGCGUAAAGCGCACGCAGGCGGUUUGUUAAGUCAGAUGUGAAAUCCCCGGGCUCAACCUGGGAACUGCAUUUGAAACUGGCAAGCUAGAGUCUCGUAGAGGGGGGUAGAAUUCCAGGUGUAGCGGUGAAAUGCGUAGAGAUCUGGAGGAAUACCGGUGGCGAAGGCGGCCCCCCUGGACGAAGACUGACGCUCAGGUGCGAAAGCGCGGGGAGCAAACAGGAUUAGAUACCCUGGUAGUCCACGCUGUAAACGAUGUCGAUUUGGAGGUUGUGCCCUUGAGGCGUGGNUUCCGGAGCUAACG
rnacentral:rRNA from 1 species